rnacentral:tRNA from 2 species
GGGGGCGUGGUGUAGUGGUUAACACGCCGGCCUGUCAAGCCGGAGAUCGCGGGUUCGAUCCCCGUCGCUCCCGCCA